UGGCCUCAUCCAGACUUGACUCAGAGGCCUCGCUGUAGCAGCAGGUAUGCUCUGCCAGGUGAGUGAAGUCAGAACGACGCUUCCGACCUCGGCGUUUCCGAAGCUGCCGCCUCUGCUGUCGGGGGCUCAGCGCCAUCUCCUCCCACAGUUCACCAAGCUUAUUCUGCUCAGAUGUCUGCUCCAAGGCUGAGGCUAAGUCGUGUACCAGCUCAUCCAUGAGGCCACAUCUGCCAAAAGGAAGUUUAGGAAAAAAAGAAAGAAAGAAAAGAAAAAGAAAAAGAAAGCCUGAAAAAGGAUCUGUUGUUUUGGAAUAAUUUGAUGAAACAGAUCAUGGUAGUCCACAGUUCUGCCUGUCUAAACAAAAUAAGUCACCUUUCAUCUGGCUACACUUAGA
rnacentral:lncRNA from 10 species